GGACCCAUAGCCAAGUGGUAAGGCACGGGACUGCAACUCCCUCACCGCCGGUUCAAAUCCGACUGGGUCCUCCA
rnacentral:tRNA from 1 species